UUGUUGGGGUUGUACCUGGGAUACUUCGUCUCUGGAGUUCCAUUUGACAGACAGAAGCAGCUUAGGAAGAGAUUCUGGGAUGUUUACACAGUAAUGUCUGCAGAGAGACAGGUAGGGAGACAGGUGGAGAGACAGGUGGAGAGACAGGUGGAGAGACAGGUGGAGAGACAGGUAGGGAGACAGGUGGAGAGACAGGUAGGGAGACAGGUAGGGAGAGACAGGUGGAGAGACAGGUGGAGAGACAGGUGGAGAGACAGGUGGAGAGACAGGUAGAGAGACAGGUAGAGAGACAGGUGGAGAGACAGGUAGAGAGACAGGUGGAGAGACAGGUAGAGAGACAGGUGGAGAGACAGGUAGAGAGACAGGUAGAGAGACAGGUGGAGAGACAGGUGGAGAGACAGGUAGAGAGACAGGUAGAGAGACAGGUAGGGAGACAGGUGGAGAGACAGGUAGGGAGACAGGUGGAGAGACAGGUGGAGAGACAGGUAGAGAGACAGGUGGAGAGACAGGUGGAGAGACAGGUAGGGAGACAGGUGGAGAGACAGGUGGAGAGACAGGUAGGGAGACAGGUGGAGAGACAGGCGGAGAGACAGGUGGAGAGACACGUAGAGAGACAAGUAGACAUACAGGUAGACAGUCAGACAGACAGGUGUGGACAAUAAUCAGUUAUUGGUCAAAAAAGUCUGCAUUUGUGUAGACUGUUCCCCUCAGCUGUGUCUCACCUGUCUCUCCUCAUUAGGCCCCGCCCUCACCUGUGUCUGCUCAUUAGGCCCCACAUUC